GUUUUUUCCCCCUUUGGAACAACCCGCUUUAGCUGCGGAUUGGCCGCGGCCUAUCACGCGGCCCGCAGGCCGGACUGAAUUGGAGGCUGUUCACCGGCUGACCUUGCGUCGCCGCCGCCACCUGCGCGCGCAGGCGCGCGCUGCUGGUUCGGACCUGCGCUGGGGUCGCACUGCCCGGUGUCUCCUUCGGGGCUUGAGAAAGAUGGAGUGUAGAGGCAGGGGGCAGUGGGAUGCCCUGCACAGUUUUCGGGCUCUCAGCGCAGGGUAGAGGCCACGAGGACAAGGGAGGACGAGGCUGAGGCGGGGAGCCGCAAGUCGUACCCCGUGCGCGCGCGCGCCCCACCCUCCGGCCGGAACCAUCCGAACUUACGGGGUUUUUGAGAAACCCCUGUCGUUUUCCGUGGUGGCUGCGCCGAUUUACAUUCCCACCAACAGUGUUCAGAGGUUCCCUUUUCUCCACAUCCUUGAGACGUUUGUUAUUUGUGUUCUUUUUGAUGAUGGCCAUGCUGACAGGUGGGAGACGGUGUCUCACUGUGAUUUUGAUUUGCAUUUCCCUGAUACCAGUGAUGUUGGGCAGCUUUUCCUGCUCCUGUUGGUCACCUGCAUUUCCUGUUUUAGAAAAAAUGUCUAUUCAGUUCUGCCCUUUUUUAAAUGGGUUGUUUGUUCUUUUGCUUUUUAACUGAAAUAUAGUUGAUUUUAAAUGCAUUAGUUUCUGGUGUACAGCGUGGGUGGACUUGGAGGGCACGAUCCUAAGAGAAGUAAGUCAAAGACAAACACUGUAAGAGAUCACUUACACGUGGAAUCUAAAAAAAAUACAACAAUCUAGUGAAUAUAACAGAAAAGGAAAACUCACAGAUGUGGAGAAGGAGCCACUGGUUACCAGUGGGGAGAGGGAGGGGCGAGGGGCAAGAUGGAGGUGGAGGAUUAAGCGGUACAAACUGUCAGGUUUAAGUAAGCUACAAGGAUGUAUUGUACAACAUGGGGAAUAUAGCCAAUAUUUUAUAAUAACUACAAAUGGAACAUAACUUUUAAAAAUUGUGAACACUAUAUUGUAUACUUGUCACAUACAGUAUUAUACAUCAACUAUACUUCAAUUUAAAAAAUAUAUUAUAAAAUAAAUAUUAAAAAAAAAAAAACCUGAACCACAGAAGAGCCAAUGAAUGGUUACAUCCGUAAGUGGGAAGUGGGGGACAUGGCUAAAGGAAAACUGCAACAUGCUGUACCUGGUACAUAUCUGUGUAUUUCGACACUGAUUCACUGUGAAACCCGCGGGCUUCUUAAAAUGUUCUCUAUGAAACAUCUGUAAAUAUAGUCUCUUAAUGUUUAGCUGCUUUAAUCAUGAUUGUUAUUUCCACGUUGUGAAACUACCCUGCACAGCCAGUGGCUCUCAAAUGCUCCAGUAUGAGCUGGGCAGGUGGCUCUUGCUGAGCUGGACCACCUCACCUCCUGGAGAAACCAGGGCUCCCCAGGCUCCCCCUGCCUGUCCCCCUAUCCCUUCACCCACAGGGUCACUGUAGAAAUGACCAUCUGGCCCGAUUUGGGGGUCCCAAGGCAGAAGAAGGGCUGCAGGGGGCCAGGGAAGGCAGGCUGGGAGUAGGUAUGCAGGUGGGACCCAUCAUUCACAUUGUAGAAGGACACCUCUCCGGCCUCGAAGUCCAGGAAGACGCCCAUGUGGCUGGGGGGCUCAGUCAGCGUGAUGGGGGUCACAGAAGACGUAGCAGGUGCAUACCUCUCUCCCUUGCAUAGCUGUACCACCCAGAACCCAUUUUCCGGGGACUUAGGGACCCUGCCCCUCCGGCUGACGUUGUCCCUGCACACGCCUAGGGCCCACAGCGCAUCACCAGUGAGGUUCAUGCCCACCUCCCAGUAGUGCCUCCCCGAGGAGAAGGUCUCUUGGCCCACUGCACAAGGGUAGGCCAGGAACCUGUCUUGGCCAUGGGGUGCGCCAUCCAGCGGGGUGCUCAGGUAGCGCCUCUGGCUGAUCUCGUACAAGAGGAGGUAGGGGUAGGCUGUGGUUGGGUCUGGCACCACAUCUUCUGGAGACAGGCCCAGGGCAGAGGGGAGAGGGGGGCUUUUCAGGGUCAGGGCGGAGAGGGCAAGGACUCAGGGGGCCAAAUAGUCCCCUGUUCACCCUAACCCCCACCCAGGCCUCUGGCUGAGUUCAGCUGUGAACGAGGAGCUACUGUACGAUCCAGUAUCCCAUCUAUGGAUAUUGGUGAUGCCAAGGAGGUGGGGUUGGGGGACCAUUUGGGCAUUGGGCAGUGCGGUUGAGUUCCUCCCAUCCCCAUCCCCCUCCACUGGUGACUCUUGCCUUGAGUGGCUAGGAGCAGGGUGGGGCAUUACCCAGAACACCUGGGCCCUGGCUUACCUUGGAAACGCUUGAGCACCUCUAUCUGCCCGGGGACCCUGCAGACUGUCCUCAGCAUGGUGAGGGUAGCCUCUGGGUACUGCACACUCAGGCUGUCCUUCCUCCGAUGGAUACAGGUCUCACUGUCCCCUCUGACCCUACCUGCAGUCCUCCCUGCACCCAUCACCGCCUCCACCGCAGGUGGCCACGUACCUGCUGAGAACGUGGUUCAUAUCCUUCAAAACACAUAGAGGGGGAGGAAGAGAGAUUGGCGAGGCCUCCCCCGGGACCUGGGGUGUUCCCGAGCCAGUAGAGCUAGAAGGGGUUUGUGAUGUUUCCCCACGGCCAUGUUUCCAGAGCGUAACCCUGUCUUUGGGCUGUUGACACAGUCAUCAUGCAUCUGACUCGCCCAGGCCUCCUGCUUUUCCACGUCACAGUGAGUGAGGACACAGGGAAGUGGUCCUGCUCAUGACAGGUCCUGAAGGCACGGGAGCCCAAGCAGUGCUUUCGGCCUUGAGUGGGUCAGGAGUCAGUUUUGUGGCUUGCAAACAGAUUGAUUUUUGAUAGACGACAAAGUUGGGGCGAGUGUAUAGUCUGUCGUCUAUUCCAGGACUCUUACUGGGAACAGAACCCCCAGGAUGCUAGGGCAACAGGCAUAAAACUGGGUCUGACCCAGGCAUCCUGGGAUGUACAGAGACCCUGUGUGUGGCAUUUGCUUUGUAAACAGACUUCUGUGAAUGCGUGUGCAAUGAUCUGCAGUGUGAAGUGUAUUUUUUGCUGUCAAUUCCAUCACUCUGCACGCUUGAUUAGUGUUGCCCACUUUUCAGCCCCACAACUGCCCCCUCCGGGGCCUUGGUGUGCAGGCCCAUCCCUGGCAGGCCAGCUGCACCUUCUCUCCACUUCCAUAGCUGGCGGAUGUGAUCACAUGACUUGCUUCCACCUGUGAAGUCACGGGUGCCUAUCUGGGCCAGUGUGACUGUGCCUGCAUCACUGUGUGGAAGACAGCUGCCCUCAGGCCACAUCCCUAGGCGAUGAAGGGAAGGAACACAGGUCACUAGGACAGGCACCUGUCAUGGGCUGAAUUGAUUCCCCUUCCCCACCAGAUUCUUACGUUGUGAAACUCUAACCCUCAGUGCCUCAGAAUGUGACUCUAUUUGGAGAUAGGGUCUUAAAGAUGUGAUUAAGAUAAAAUUAGGUCAUUAGGGUGGGCCCUCAUUCAAUUUGACUGGUGUCUUUAUAAGAAGAGAUAGGGCACAGACGUACAGAGGGAUAACCAUGUGAGGACACAGGGAGAAGAUAGCUGUCUGCAAGCCAAGGAAACAAGCCUUUGGAGAAACCAGCUCUGCCCACAACUGGAUCUCAAGACUUCUAACCUCCAGGAGUGUGAGAAAUAAAUGUCUUGUUAUUGAAACCAUC